UACGGAGGAUGCGAGCGUUAUCCGGAUUUAUUGGGGUUUAAAGGGUGCGCAGGCGGUCUGUUAAGUCAGCGGUCAAAAUGCCGGGGCUCAACCCCGCCGCCGUUGAAACUGGCAGUCUUGAGUUGGAGAGAAGUAUGCGGAAUGCGCGGUGUAGCGGUGAAAUGCAUAGAUAUCGCGCAGAACUCCGAUUGCGAAGGCAGCAUC
rnacentral:rRNA from 1 species